CAUCGGUCAGAGGUCAAAGGAGAAAUCCGCUUUGGGAGGGGUUCGCGUCCCAUUAGGUAGUUGGUGAGGUAACGGCCCACCAAGCCGACGAUGGGUAGCCGAGCUGAGAGGCUGAUCGGCCACACUGGAACUGAGACACGGUCCAGACUCCUACGGGAGGCAGCAGUGGGGAAUAUUGGGCAAUGGGCGCAAGCCUGACCCAGCAACGCCGCGUGAGGGAAGAAGGUUUUCGGAUUGUAAACCUCUGUCGCAGGGGACGAAGGAAGUGACGGUACCCUGUAAGAAAGCCCCGGCUAACUACGUGCCAGCAGCCGCGGUAAUACGUAGGGGGCGAGCGUUGUCCGGAAUUACUGGGCGUAAAGGGAGCGUAGGCGGUCGAUUAAGUUAGAUGUGAAACCCCCGGGCUUAACUUGGGGACUGCAUCUAAUACUGGUUGACUUAGAGUACAGGAGAGGGAAGCGGAAUUCCUAGUGUAGCGGUGAAAUGCGUAGAUAUUAGGAGGAACACCAGUGGCGAAGGCGGCUUUCUGGACUGACACUGACGCUGAGGCUCGAAAGCGUGGGGAGCAAACAGGAUUAGAUACCCUGGUAGUCCACGCUGUAAACGAUGAAUACUAGGUGUAGGGGGUAUCAACUCCCUCUGUGCCGCAGCAAACGCAAUAAGUAUUCCGCCUGGGGAGUACGGCCGCAAGGUUGAAACUCAAAUGAAUUGACGG
rnacentral:rRNA from 1 species